AUGUCAGGUGACAUCUAUCUACGUCUAUUUUUGACACAUAUUGUUUUUUGUCAAAGAACAAUUACUCUGGCUUGCGAUGUUUUUAAUGCAGGACAAUUGUUCACUACAUCAACACGAUGUGGACGACUCAACCGUCCACGCCGGCUUACAACGCUCGCGGCAGUUUACCUCAUCCGCGCCGAUGUACAACGCCCGUGGCCGACUCUUGCAGAUAUAUCAACAAAUCAGAGUCAUGCCUGCCCAUACAAGCUGUCCAACGGACGUGUGCAAGCCGUUGACCUGUGGUCUGGUUUAUUCUAA
rnacentral:rRNA from 1 species